AUCUGCCCAUCAGACGGGGACAACGAUUGGAAACGAUCGCUAAUACCGGAUAGGACGAAAGUUUAAGAUGCUCCUGGCAUCGCUGAUGGAUGAGCCUGCGGCGCAUCAGCUAGUUGGUAGGGUAAAGGCCUACCAAGGCGACGAUGCGUAGCCGACCUGAGAGGGUGAACGGCCACACUGGGACUGAGACACGGCCCACACUCCUACGGGAGGCAGCAGUAGGGAAUCUUAAGCAAUGGGCGAAAGCCUGACCGAGCAACGCCGCGUGAAUGAAGAAGGCCUUCGGGUUGUAAAAUUCUGUUAUAAGGGAAGAAAGGUGAUAGGAGGAAAUGACUAUCAAUUGACGGUACCUUAUGAGAAAGCCACGGCUAACUACGUGCCAGCAGCCGCGGUAAUACGUAGGUGGCAAGCGUUAUCCGGAUUUACUGGGUGUAAAGGGCGUGUAGGCGGGAAAGCAAGUCAGAUGUGAAAACCAUAGGCUCAACCUGUGGCCUGCAUUUGAAACUGUUUUUCUUGAGUACUGGAGAGGCAGACGGAAUUCCUCGUGUAGCGGUGAAAUGCGUAGAUAUGAGGAGGAACACCAGUGGCGAAGGCGGUCUGCUGGACAGCAACUGACGCUGAGGCGCGAAAGCGUGAGGAGCAAACAGGAUUAGAUACCCUGGUAGUCCACGCUGUAAACGAUGGAUACUAGGUGUGGGGGGACUGACCCCCUCCGUGCCGCAGUUAACACAAUAAGUAUCCCACCUGGGGAGUACGAUCGCAAGGUUGAAACUCAAAGGAAUUGACGGGGGCCCGCACAAGCGGUGGAGUAUGUGGUUUAA
rnacentral:rRNA from 1 species